GAUGGAGAACGCAGCGAAAUGCGAUACUUGGUGUGAAUUGCAGAAUCCCGUGAACCAUCGAGUCUUUGAACGCAAGUUGCGCCCGAAGCCUCGGCUAAGGGCACGUCUGCCUGGGCGUCACGCAUCGCGUCUCCCCCAACCCGCCAAGGCGGAGGGGAAGGAAGAUGGCUUCCCGUGCCUCACCCGGGCGCGGUUGGCCUAAAUUUGGAGCCCGCGGCACUUAGCUCUCGCGGCGAUAGGUGGUGAACAAGGCCUUGGCCGUGCAAACAACCCGCUGCGAAGCUCUAUGUCACGUGCGCUCGUCGGACCCUUUGAAGUUGCCUUCGGUGACUUAAAACCUUUGCGACCCCAGGUCAGGCGGGGCUACCCGCUGAAUUUAAGCAUAUCAAUAAGCGGAGGA
rnacentral:misc_RNA from 1 species